rnacentral:rRNA from 1 species
UGGGGAAUUUUGGACAAUGGGCGAAAGCCUGAUCCAGCAAUGCCGCGUGUGUGAAGAAGGCCUUCGGGUUGUAAAGCACUUUUGUCCGGAAAGAAAUCCUUGGCUCUAAUACAGUCGGGGGAUGACGGUACCGGAAGAAUAAGCACCGGCUAACUACGUGCCAGCAGCCGCGGUAAUACGUAGGGUGCAAGCGUUAAUCGGAAUUACUGGGCGUAAAGCGUGCGCAGGCGGUUUGCUAAGACCGAUGUGAAAUCCCCGGGCUCAACCUGGGAACUGCAUUGGUGACUGGCAGGCUAGAGUAUGGCAGGAGGGGGGUAGAAUUCCACGUGUAGCAGUGAAAUGCGUAGAGAUGUGGAGGAAUACCGAUGGCGAAGGCAGCCCCCUGGGCCAAUACUGACGCUCAUGCACGAAAGCGUGGGGAGCAAACAGGAUUAGAUACCCUGGUAGUCCACGCCCUAAACGAUGUCAACUAGUUGUUGGGGAUUCAUUUCCUUAGUAACGUAGCUAACGCGUGAAGUUGACCGCCUGGGGAGUACGGUCGCAAGAUUAAAACUCAAAGGAAUUGACGGGGUCAUAGCUGUUUCCU